rnacentral:rRNA from 1 species
AUCUACGGCCAUACCAACCCUGAACACGCACGAUCUCGUCAGAUCUCAGAAGCUGAGCAGGGUCGCGCCUGGUUGGUACUUGGAUGGGAGAGAAAGUAAAGUUUCACAGGAC